rfam:Penicillium roqueforti FM164 genomic scaffold, ProqFM164S10
GCUCGCAUAGCUCAGUUGGUAGAGCGCGUGACUAGUACUUUUCUAGUCCAUCACGAGGUCUGUCGUUCAAAUCGGCAUGUGAGCA